rnacentral:lncRNA from 1 species
AUGUCCCACUCNGACAGUCUCCGGGGCCCUGGCCAGGGGCAGGGGGGCGUUUGCUUCAUGUCCCACUCUGCACUAGUUCCUGUGAACGUUGCUGGAGCUCAUCGUGAGCGAGACCUGGACCGUGGACCUGAGCCAGGAGCUGAGCYGGYAGCUGGGCAGCUCUCCCUGCCUGUCCUGGGAGAARGUUUGUUCCCUGCGCAGUGUCRCUGCCGCUCAYGCACCCCGAGGGCUGCRGCAGCAGAGCCCCGGGAGGCUGGGGCCGGGGCSAGGGCUGGUGGCAGCGCUCUGCCCCACAGGCUGGUUUCCCUGCUGCCCGCUCUCUUCCCCCAGGAAGGCGCUCGCGCUCCCCUCCGUGCUGAGCUGGCGGUGGGGCUGGGCUGGCCGCCGGCUGCUGUUGGGGCUGGCGCCGCGGGUGCCUCGGCGGGUCACGGCACGGCAGGACUGCCGUGGCCUGGCCCUCUCCGUCCAGGCGGGGCUGUCACCGCAGCCGGGGCUCAGCCUCUUCUCCUGCAGCGGUUCCUGUACAAGGCUCUUGGCACGGCCCUGGCAGCCUGCGGGUGUCUGCGCCACGUGCGAAAGCAGACGCUGAAAUACUUGAAAGCAGCCAACUUCCUGGAGCUGUGGGAGGCACAGGUGAGGUUUGCUCAUGUUGCCCUGCUUUCCCACGUGUCCCCUGCGUGUCCCCGGGGCAGAGGGGCUCUGCGUGCCCUGCUCCAGCCCUUGCUGGUGUUCUGUUCGCGUCCAUUUGCCUGGGGAAAGGUCCUGCCUGGCCGGUGGAGCUGGCCAGGGCUGGGCGCUGGGGCCGGAGCGACUCCCCAUUUCUGCUGUGUUGCAGGGAAUAGUUUCAGUUAUGUCGCACUGUGCCGAGAGCCACUUCCAGCUGGCCUUGUCCUCAGUGAAGGAGUUCAUGGGGACUUUGAAGCACCAGGAGGUAAAGGGCCCGGGGUGUCGCUGCAGGGAGCUGCCGGUCAGGCGCGGGGCAUCUCCCGCCUCAGGAGUGCGCGGAGUCCCGUCACAACAAGGCUGCGGGCUGAUGUCUUUGUGCUUCUCUGGCAACCCCCCGGCAGAGCGACACGAUGA